CUACGGGCGGCUCCAGUGAGGAAUAUUGCACAAUGGGGGGAACCCUGAUGCAGCAACGCCGCGUGGAGGAUGACGCAUUUCGGUGUGUAAACUCCUUUUAUAUGUCAAGAAAAUGACGGUAGCAUAUGAAUAAGCACCGGCUAACUCCGUGCCAGCAGCCGCGGUAAUACGGAGGGUGCAAGCGUUACUCGGAAUCACUGGGCGUAAAGGACGCGUAGGCGGGUUGGAAAGUCAGGUGUGAAAUCCUACAGCUUAACUGUAGAACUGCACUUGAAACUUCUAAUCUAGAGUAUGGGAGGGGGAGAUGGAAUUAGUGGUGUAGGGGUAAAAUCCGUAGAUAUCACUAAGAAUACCUAAAGCGAAGGCGAUCUCCUGAGACAUUACUGACGCUAAGGCGUGAAAGCGUGGGGAGCAAACAGGAUUAGAUACCCCUGUAGUC
rnacentral:rRNA from 1 species